rnacentral:lncRNA from 1 species
AUAAAAAGAUAUACAGGGACAGGAUUUCACCCCGUUGGAGGAUGGUGAAACCAGGGCAUUAGAGAGGUCAGAAGGAAGGUGACACCUAAUGAAAAGGCAUCUUUCAUCAGCCAAAGAGUUCUUGAUUAAAGGAGGGCAUUCUUUGCAGAGGGAAACCAAGUAGGAGUUCAUGGUAAAAGUGCAGGUAAGGAGUGAUGAGCACCUAAGGCAAUGUCAGAGGAGAUGACAUGGGAUGAGUUUGCAAUACUUAGGAGGUAAAACUGGAUAACUUGACAACUUGAUUUAGCAUCUUCUGAGAAGGCUACCAAAGAUGAGACCUAGUGAUGGUUCAUUGAGAUGAUUUUACUGGUAUAGUCUUUUCAAGAGAUAACUGGAUUCAAAACAAAGUUUUGACAAAUACUAUAUAGGCAUAAUCUGUUUUCAUUUGCAUAUUACAUGUAUGUAAAUUCCCAAGUCUAUGUGCACAAAUGGUAUUUUCCAAGGUAUUUGUUCAUGGUUCACGGCAAUGGACCAAGGGCAAAAUAAGAAAAUGAUGUAAUAUUUGGUGGGCAUGGAGGGAAAAAACAAACUGGUUUCUCACUGGUCUUUCUGUAAGUCUCCUUUCUGCCUGCAUGAAGGAGUUACUUGGUUCUUGGCCACUUACCACUGCAUAUUAGCAGAAAAGCUUAACCAACCUUGCUUAUAAAUGGCCAAGCAACAAACUGCCUCAUUCAUUCAUUCUGUUGACAUAUUCUGAGUCCCAGGAUGCUUGGAGCCAGGGAUAGAGAAAUCAAAAAGUUGUAUUCUUUGCCUAUGAGAGAAGGGGGCAUGUAAACAGACACUUUUAGUAUAGCCUGGCAAGUACUUUGUUAGAAGUGCAGUUGGAGUCCUGAGAGAAUACUGAAGAGAACUUACUGCAUCAUGCCAACAGAGAAACGUCACGAGUGAUGUAAUAGAAGACUUUGAAAGUUUUGAAGAAUGGGAAAAGUAGGGACAUGUGAUGGUAUUUCAAAUAUAGGGAACCUUGAGAGACUAUAUUAUUGUUUCUAAUUAUUUGUUUCUCAUCUCCCUAGUAUAAGGAAAGAUAUAUGGGGACAAGAAAGGUUUCUAUUUCCCCUCCCUAAUUAAGGUCAGUCUUGGCCAUGUGAUUUACUUUGGCCAAUAACAUUUGAGUAGAAGUGUUUUAUGCUACUUCUAAGCAAAACCUUUAAGAUCCAUCAUGACAUUGCAAAGUCACUCUUUCCCCUCUGCCAUAUGAGCAAACCUUUUCCAGAAAGAAACUGCUAAGGUUUAGUGUGGAUCUCAAAGUAAGGAGGAUGCCUGGAGUAGAGCUGAAGCUGCCCUGCAGACAACAUGUAAGUAAGAAAUAAACCUGUGUUGUUAAAAACCUCUCAAACCUGAGGAUGGUUGUUAUAGUAGCAUAACUUGGGAAAGCUGACUAACACAGAAAUAAUAUAAGCAAAGGUGCAGAAUUAUCAAUCAGUUUGCAGUGUUUGAGGAAUGGUGAGAAGUUUAGUGUAGACUCAGUGUUUAGAGCCUAGGUGGCCAGAAAUAAACCCAAAAAGAGAGUUAGAAAGAGAUUUUUGAAGGGUCCUGCAUAUCCUGCUAAGAAAGUUGAACUUCAUUCCUUAAAUGGCAGAAAGUCAGUAGAAGUUAAAGAGUGAUAUAAUAUGACUUGUUUCUUAGGAAGAUGAUUCUAUUGGGAAUGGAAAAAUACUAGUACCAGUGAAAUUAGCUAAAAAGUUGUUAUGAUACUAGUAACUGACAUUUAUUGUGCAUUUACUACAUGGCAGGCAUUUAGUAUAUAAUUACCAGUGUAAUCCUUGCCACAACCCCAUUAGUAGGUAUUAUAAUGAUCCUUCUGUGUAGAAGAGGAAAUUGAGGCACAGAGAGGGUAAAUUACUUGGCUUGGUUAGUCUACCAGAAGUGGUUAGAGUCAGAAUUCCAUCCAAGCUGUCCAGGUGCCAGAAUCUAUCCGCUUCACCACCACACCACGCUCUCAGAAUCCAGGCAAAUGGUGAUCAGUGCAUGGGGAUAGAGAGGAAGCCUCAAGUCUCAUAUUUCUUUUUUUUUUUUUUUUGUUUUUUUUUUUUUUUGCUAUUUCUUGGGCCGCUCCCGCGGCAUAUGGAGGUUCCCAGGCUAGGGGUCUAAUCGGAGCUGCAGCCACUGGCCUACGCCAGAGCCACAGCAACGCAGGAUCCUUAACCCACUGAGCAAGGCCAGGGAUGGAACCCGCAACCUCAUGGUUCCUAGUCGGAUUCGUUAACCACUGCGCCACGACAGGAACUCCAAGUCUCAUAUUUCUGAGUUUGCCCAGAAUGUGGGCAUGAUUUGGAGUUUUAAGGUAGAAGAAGUGGAGGGGCCAGAAAUAGUGUCCCACAUUUUACCCAGGAGAUUAAAUAGGCAGUGAAACACUGAUUGGAAUCAAGGAAUGUAAGAGCAAGUUUGGGAGAAAAAUGAAGAGUUUUGUUUGGGAUACUUACAUUUUGAGGCAGGUGUGCAGCAGCACCAGGUAGAGAUGAUCUGUUGGUGAUUAGAAUAGGGUACUGCCACUCAGGAGCAAGGCGGAGAUAGAUCCAGGUGGAGCAGAAGCCCAGAGAGUGGACUGAUGCACCUUGGCAUGUGUAGAGUGAGUUGAGAAAAGGCCAAGGGCAGAAUCAGAAGGACCCCAUUUCUUAGGGAGUAGAUUAGGAGCCAGGGAAAGACUGAGAGUCAGUGAUAAAGGAAAGAAGAGAGCCAGAGAACAGAGGAUAGGCUUUCAAAAAGGUAUUCACCACCAAUGACCUAAAACUGGAAAAAUUGGGAGGUGACCACAAUCACCUCUAUUUGUGGCAUGUUCUGGCCACAUAAUGACUUUGAGAAAUAAGGACCUCCCUUACACAGAGGCCCACACAUGGUACGUCACCAGCAUCCCAGUGGAGGUACAAGGUUGCAUUGGUGGAGGUAGAGAAAAAGUAGGAAAUGAUUUCCUCCCAUCAUGAUGCUCAUAGAAUGGAGUACUUUUAUGCUUAUUUAUAACUACAGAACCGCUUAUGAACUUUUAAAAUGAUGGGUUCCUAUAAAUGGGGAAAAAAAGUGCAUUGCCUCAAUUUACAGGAAUUGCCUAAUUCCAAACAUGGUAAUGAGAUAGAUUUAAAAGUAAAAUCUUUUCUGGAACACUCUCAAUACCUGGAAGAACCAGCUUAUUAGAUUCACUUCUUAAGUGCCCUCCAGUAACACUAUUACAUUUCAAUGGCCUGUAACUAGUUAGAAUAAUAUGAAAGAUUUUUGCAUAGAAUUCCCCAGGUUUUUUGAUGACCUAGUAGAAUACCAGAAUGUUUUUUAAACUAUGAAUAGCUUGAAGCUACACAGAAUUUAUUAUGCAAUAUUCUGCUAGGAAUAUCCCACAUGCAUGCCUUGUAGUAGGGGAAGAAGAAAAUGUUACUUUGUCUGCAACACAAAUGACAUUUUUGUCCAGUGCACCUCAAAUUGUGGAGGUGUGUUGACAUGGUGUUUGAAAAGGGUUCCAUGGAAACAAAGCUUGGAAACACGGGGUUAAAUGAGCUUAAUUUUUUUUUUCCAUUGAAGGACUUCUGAGAGCCUUUAAUAUGCUGGUUUACAUUGUGCAGCUCCAGAGGUGCCUAGAAUAAGCAGUCUUCCCCAAACUUAUCUGACCAUAGAUUUCCCCAAGAAAACAUAACCUACCUUAUCAAAUGUCCUAGGUGGUAAAUUAUAUUUCUGUUCAAAGUGUUGGCUGCUCUUCCCUUUGGUAUCUUUUCUCUAUAGGAUUAUCCUCCCCUGCUCCACCAAACACAGGAGUGGUUAUGUGAUUUGCUUUGGUCAGUGGUAUAUAGCUUCAAGUAAUGUGUAUUACUUCUGAGCAGACUUUUUUAAGAACCAGCCUGUGUUCUUCCUAUUCUCUUUACCCUACAUUAUAAGACCAGCUGUGUCCCAAAGAAAGAUUGUUCCAAUAGCCCAGAGUUCUGGAGUAUCCUGUGAUGAAUAUGUAUGUAAAUGCACAAGAAGUAAACCUUUGAAGUUGUAAACCACUAAUAUGUCACUUAUUACUGAGGUUAACUUAGCCUAACAUCCUACCUCUAAGAAUUUAUAAAUUACCUGGAUUUUACAGCUUUUUACAGGUAUGUUCAUUCAGUCUCAAUCUUAUCAAUGAUGCAGUGUUUGCAGAAUUAUGCUUUAGGUUCAGAUAAUAAUACCUGAAGGUUUACUAAAGAUAUAUAGAUAGAUGUAGAUACAGAUAUAUGAAAUAUGACUUAAAAUCUGUGGCCCUCAAACUCUUGUAUGUCUAGAAAAUUACCUGGAAUUUUAUCCAAAAUGAACACUCUCAGAUCCACAUCCCCCAGAUUCUGAUUCAGUGGGCUUGGAAUGAGUCCAAGGAAUCUGAAUUUUAAGCCAACCUCCCAAGAUAUUACCAAUGCAGGUGGUCUGUCAGCCACACCCUAACAUGCAUUUAAAGAAAUGCCAUGUCAGUUUAAAGAGGCACCAUGGAGACUCCUCUUUUGAAUUACUAGAAGCAUGUAUAAUUAGUUUCAUUAAAUUUUGUUUAUAUUCAUUAUAUUUCAUUAUGUUUUACUGGAAAACAUUUGAUGUACAAAAUGGUAGUCUUUGCAAGUGGCAGAAACCUAAUUUGAACCACCUGAAGCAAAACAAAUUUAUUGGUUACAGAACUAAAAUGGCCAUGGCUUUGAGGGAAUGAAGUUUAGUUGCUGGUUGAGUGGGCUGGACAUGUUAGAACUGGAGGCCAGACCUGCCUUUGGGAAGGUGUUGGGAGAGGAGGAUGUUUCAGGUAAGCGGGCAAAACAGGGGUGAUGUGAAGGAUCUCUUGGGUGGAAGACCCACCAGACAGGGCGCUACCUGGAUGGUUUGGACAAGUGAGAUGGAAGUCUAAGCAUGUGAUUUGCACUGGAGAAGGUUGGCGAGGUGUGAUCUGGUAGAAGACCCGGAAGCUGGGCAGGGAGUGACCAAGGGUUAAGGAACGGGGAGGUAGACAGAGUAAAGAACGUGAGUCGUGGGAGUUCCCGUCACGGCACAGUGGAAACAAAUCCGAUUAGGAAUCAUGAGGUUUCGGGUUUGAUCCUUGGCCUCACUCAGUGGUUUAAGGAUCCGGCGUUGCUGUGAGCUAUGGUGUAGGUCACAGACACAGCUCCAAUCUGGCGUGGCUGUGGCUGUGGUGUAGGCCGGUGGCUACAGCUCUGAUUUGACCUCUAGCCUGGGAACCUCCAUAUGCCACAGG